rnacentral:rRNA from 1 species
UACGGAGGGGGCGGGCGUUGCUCGGAUUUACUGGGUGUAAAGGGCACGUAGGCGGUUCGGUAAGCCCUGCCUUAAAGACUCUGGCUCAACCAGAGUAGGCGGUAGGGGACUGCCAAACUUGAGAGUGGGAGAGGUGAGCGGAAUUCCCGGUGUAAGGGUGAAAUCUGUAGAGAUCGGGAGGAACACCAGUGGCGAAGGCGGCUCACUGGCCCAUUUCUGACGCUGAGGUGCGAAAGCUAGGGGAGCAAACAGGAUUAGAAACCCUAGUAGU